rnacentral:rRNA from 1 species
UUCGAAGGGUGCAAGCGUUACUCGGAAUUACCGGGCGUAAAGCGUGCGUAGGUGGUUUGUUAAGUCUGAUGUGAAAGCCCUGGGCUCAACCUGGGAAUUGCAUUGGAUACUGGCAAUCUAGAGUGUGUCAGAGGGGGGUAGAAUUCCACGUGUAGCAGUGAAAUGCGUAGAGAUGUGGAGGAAUACCGAUGGCGAAGGCAGCCCCCUGGGAUAACACUGACGCUCAUGUACGAAAGCGUGGGUAGCAAACAGG